rnacentral:rRNA from 1 species
AGUGAACGCUGGCGGUAGGCCUAACACAUGCCAGUCGAACGGCAGCACAGUAAGAGCUUGCUCUUACGGGUGGCGAGUGGCGGACGGGUGAGGAAUACAUCGGAAUCUACUUUUUCGUGGGGGAUAACGUAGGGAAACUUACGCUAAUACCGCAUACGACCUACGGGUGAAAGCAGGGGAUCUUCGGACCUUGCGCGAUUGAAUGAGCCGAUGUCGGAUUAGCUAGUUGGCGGGGUAAAGGCCCACCAAGGCGACGAUCCGUAGCUGGUCUGAGAGGAUGAUCAGCCACACUGGAACUGAGACACGGUCCAGACUCCUACGGGAGGCAGCAGUGUGGAAUAUUGGACAAUGGGCGCAAGCCUGAUCCAGCCAUACCGCGUGGGUGAAGAAGGCCUUCGGGUUGUAAAGCCCUUUUGUUGGGAAAGAAAAGCAGCAGGUUAAUACCCCGCUGUUCUGGCGGUACCCAAAGAAUAAGCACCGGCUAACUUCGUG